AGCAGCCGCGGUAAUUCCAGCUCCAAUAGCGUAUAUUAAAGUUGUUGCAGUUAAAAAGCUCGUAGUUGAAUUUCGGGAUUGGCGCAUCGGUCGUGCCUUACGGGGUAUGAACUGGUGCAGUCAAUUUCUCACCUUCUGGAGAACCGCGAUGUCCUUAAUUGGGGUGCCGUGGGGAACCAGGACCUUUACUUUGAAAAAAUUAGAGUGUUUAAAGCAGGCAUUUUUGCUUGAAUACAUUAGCAUGGAAUAAUAAAAUAGGACGGCAUGGUUCUAUUUUGUUGGUUUCUAGGACCACCGUAAUGAUUAAUAGGGAUAGUUGGGGGCAUUAGUAUUCAAUUGUCAGAGGUGAAAUUCUUGGAUUUAUUGAAGACUAACUACUGCGAAAGCAUUUGCCAAGGAUGUUUUCAUUAAUCAAGAACGAAAGUUAGGGGAUCGAAGACGAUCAGAUACCGUCGUAGUCUUAACCAUAAACUAUGCCGACUAGGAAUCAGACGAUGUUAAUUUUUAAUUGUACUCGUUU
rnacentral:rRNA from 1 species